rnacentral:lncRNA from 1 species
GUGACGCUAGGCAUUCAGCCCAUGGCAGCACCAGGAGUAGACGUUCCAGAUUUGGUUCUAGAAGAAUGAACAAGAUACAGGAUGCUGUACUCUGACAAGAGGCUGCAGCACAAAGGAGCAAGGAUACUCUAAAUAACAUGACAGCCAUGAUGCAGUGGCAAGUCAACAGGCAAUUCAGAAAGGAUCGUGAGGCUGCUAUUGCAAGAAUUCCAAACCCAGAUAUUGUGGUCCAGUAGCUAGGAAGGAUCCUCACCGAUAAACAGAACAAAAGUGUAUAUAUAUAUAUAUAUAUAAUAUGACUACUACCAAACUUGUACCGGGGAAACAAUCCAAUCGGGGAAUUCUUUGACUAGACCACAUGGAAGAAUCCUCAAUUGACCAUGUGGCUAGGGAACGAGCCGUCCAACAGGGGGACUAGCUCACCAGCAUAUACAACAGAAUCCUCAAUACUCGUACGUCUGUGACAAGUCCUACGCGUGCAGACUAACCCCGCUAAGGGUCUACAAAACACCCUGUCAAGGGUGCCCCGGUUCCGACAUAUCCAAGUAUCCCAAAAGUUUCCAAGUAUCCAAUCCAUGUAUUCCAAAACAAGGGAGGUACAAAGGGUAGUGCUAAUAGCACUUCAAACUGACAUAAACCACAACCCAACUCACAUUCCAUAAUCCCUUUCCCACAAACCCAUGUACCUCACACAUAUCCAAG